UCGCUAUACAGUUUGUUAGUGUAAAAGCAAAAAUAUGCUCGCUAAUUUUCAAUUGCAAAGAUGCAAGACCAUUUGCACCAGAUUGUGAAUUGCCCUCAUAUAUAAUUAACCCUUCGUUGCAUAGCAUUGCAUAUAUGCAAUGUUAACUUAUCGUUGAUCUGGCAGCUACGUCGUUUUUUAAUUUACAGUUAUUUUUUCGCCAUAUGAAAAUUGUACGUUAUUACUAUUCUCCUUUGAUAGAGUUUCGCAAAUAUUGUUGAGUUUUUGUGAAUAUACCUAGUAAGGAGUAAACUUCUUUCUGAUAUAUUGAAAACGAAGUACUAAAUUUUCAUUAUUUUUGUGAAUUAUUGAGAAUGUGUAAUCAAAUGUAAGUACUUCCUAUUAGUUUGGAGAGCAAAUAUUGUUGAGUUUUUGUGAAUAUACGUAGUAAAGAUUAAACUUCUUUCUGAUAUAUUGAAAAUGUGUAAUCAAAUGGCGCUUACUGAUAAUGAUAGUGAUUGAAUAAUAGAAAACUGUGAUGACAGCAAAGAUGAGUAUUUUGAUGAUGAUGAUGAAGAAAAGUUUGAAUUGGAUAUAUAUCGACACGAAUAUAACCACGGAGAAGCAAGCCCAUCAAUACACAAUUUUAAAGAAGAUGACAUGGAACGUAUCCCCCAUUUUACUAUAGGAAACGCCUCUUUUUUUACACGGAUUUCUGAGGAACGUAUCUACCGUCUAAGUAGUAUGUUUUGGCUGGUAUAUCUGGAUAUAUGUAUGUAUGUACUUACAACUUCGAAAUAUUUAUUGGCCGAGAAAACAACAGCAUCAAUAGACUUCCUGAAGAAAUUGAUUUGGGAUCAAGUCCCAACUUAGUUAUAAUAGAAUAUUACUAAAGGAUUUUCCCCCACAAAAAAAAAUAAAAAAGUAAAAAGUUUUUUUUUUGUAAUUACUACACAUCUUUUGCCACCUAUGCAAAUGUGAAAUUUACUCACUGGGAACAGUUGGUUGAUAAGAAAUUUGGCCAGAAAAUAACGGUCGCUUGCACAAACGUUCUAUCUAAGUAAGUAUAACAAAUUCAUGGGGGUGUUAAUUUGCUAGAUUACUUUAUAGGCCGAUACAAAAUUAAAAUACGCUUUAAGAUGUGGUAUAUACGACAUUUUUAUCGUUUAGUUGACACGGCUAUAGUAAAUGCUUGGCUGUUAUAUAAACGAGUGGAAAAAAACACGAAAUACAGUCACAGACAGUUUGUAGGUAGGUAAAGUAGGUAAAACGCACUGUAAAAUGGGUAAAGCUGUAAUACCAUGUAGAAUUAUCAAAAAAUAUUUGAUUAAAGAUAAAAUAAUGUAUAUAUUUGCCACAUAUAAGUUUGAUCCUUAUACUUUAUUUCUAAAGAAAACACCAGAAAAAUGACCCCAUCACUGAAAAUGAAUUACGGUUGGACCACGUGGAUCACUGGCCAACAUGGGUGGACACUCGAGUAACUUGCAAAUUUGUGACGGAUAUACGUGCAUAUUUUGAAAUUAAUUUAUGUUUCAGCAAAUUAAGACAUUGUUUCGAAAAAUUACAUAUCGAAUAAAUUUAAAUUUAUUGCAAAAGUAAUGAAUUUA